rnacentral:rRNA from 1 species
CUUGCUUCUUUGAUGACGAGUGGCGGACGGGUGAGUAAUGCUUGGGAAUCUGGCUUAUGGAGGGGGAUAACUACGGGAAACUGUAGCUAAUACCGCGUAAAAUCGGAAGAUGAAAGUGUGGGACCUUCGGGCCACAUGCCAUAGGAUGAGCCCAAGUGGGAUUAGGUAGUUGGUGAGGUAAAGGCUCACCAAGCCGACGAUCUCUAGCUGGUCUGAGAGGAUGACCAGCCACACUGGGACUGAGACACGGCCCAGACUCCUACGGGAGGCAGCAGUGGGGAAUAUUGCGCAAUGGGGGCAACCCUGACGCAGCCAUGCCGCGUGAAUGAAGAAGGCCUUCGGGUUGUAAAGUUCUUUCGGUAGCGAGGAAGGCAUUUAGUUUAAUAGACUAGGUGAUUGACGUUAACUACAGAAGAAGCACCGGCUAACUCCGUGCCAGCAGCCGCGGUAAUACGGAGGGUGCGAGCGUUAAUCGGAAUAACUGGGCGUAAAGGGCACGCAGGCGGUGACUUAAGUGAGGUGUGAAAGCCCCGGGCUUAACCUGGGAAUUGCAUUUCAUACUGGG